UAGACAGCCCCUGGAAGAUCACUUCCUUCAACUGUCCUGUGUGAACCUUAUCAUCUCAUAUGGAAGAUUGAAAAAUAGAGGGAGCAGAGGAAGAGAGAAGGAUGCAGAGAGAGCUGCUCUGCAGAGCACCCUGCUGAGCGCCUGUCUUGUCUCCCUACGAAAAAAGGAUUGUAACUUUCCAUUGAUUCUUUCAAAUUAUGUAAGCUUACCUGACCAAUAAGAUGAACGGCAAUUCAGGGUCGGUUCUGAUCCCCAAAACCGAAUGAAGGUCCAUACAGGAAUCAAAUGCCCUGGGAAUGUUCACUCUAGUUUUCACUCGACCACGAUCACGUUCCCACUUAGCCAGAAGGGAUUAAGUAGAUCAAUGUUUUUUUUUUAAACUCUGCAUUGGUGUUGUGCUGGGAGUUGGAAGUUUGCUGGAUUCCAUCUCUAAGAUAAUGUUACCUAGUGUUGCAAUAUGUUGAAUAGUGGAAGAGAAGAGAUUACUGUCUGAGGCAAGGCCCUCAGGAGUGCGCAUAAAUUGUCACAUCCUUUGGAUUUUCCCGGCAAAACCGACCCGCUCCCUUCGCAUGAAAAUCAGUUUACAGGCUUUAAUAGGCAACCUAGGAAGUUCAGGAAGGGCUCAUUUUUUAAGUUGCAUUACAAGCCUUUCACACAUUGGCAAAAAAGGUGAAUAUUACAUGAACAUUGUUACAUAUUGCACUUUUACCCAAACCCUAGACCUAACCAUGAUUUGUAUAGGAAAAUAACGUUAAUGUAUAACGGAAUUAAACAUCAGAGUUUGGGAAGUAUUGCAGGUUAUUGACAUUGCAUUGCAUUAAUAAAUAUAUAUGGAAUGAGAAAACAAAUUUAUUCACAGACGUUUCCUUCCUAAAACAGUGUGUUGGACAGGAGGCUGGCUAAAAUGUUAUGCCUGACACCCGAGCAUGACUGCUGUGUGCAUUUUUCAUUUGUAACUAGUAAACUAAUAAACAUGCAAAAAAAAGUUUUCAACUUCAAAUAGUUUUUCUCAAAAUGUAUGUCCACAUAUGUGGACAUCGGGACUAAGUUGUGAAUUUGUGUAUAAUACCAAGUUAUAAAAUGUCCGCUUUUUUUACAUAAUUUUUUUUUUUUUUAGUUUCCUAGUGUGUUGUUUAUUUAUGUUUUUGAGACGUUACAGACAUAACAUUAGAAAUGUGCAAAAAUAAUUCUGAUUAAAAGU